rnacentral:rRNA from 1 species
UACGGAGGGGGCUAGCGUUUGUUCGGAAUUACUGGGCGUAAAGCGCACGUAGGCGGCUUUGUAAGUUAGAGGUGAAAGCCCGGGGCUCAACCCCGGAAUUGCCUUUAAGACUGCAUCGCUAGAAUUGUGGAGAGGUAAGUGGAAUUCCGAGUGUAGAGGUGAAAUCGUAGAUAUUCGGGAAGAACACCAGUGGCGAAGGCGGCUCACUGGACUGGGUAU